rnacentral:tRNA from 1 species
GGUUCCAUAGUGUAGCGGUUAACAUGUCUGCUUUACACACAGAAGGUCCUAGGUUCGUGCCCCAGUGGAGCCA